ensembl:lncRNA
GAUGGAGCUUGGUAUUCCAGAACCGGUAUGCCUAAUAGGUUGCAAGAAUUUCAGGAAGCAAGAAACAACUCAAACAAGUGGUCCAAACUCAGGACAAUCUACAUGCUCAUCAGGGAAAUCUGCAGAGAUGGAAAGCUUCCAUUUUCUUUGCAAUACACUGAGCAUCCGAGGCACCAAAGAUUUACUUCAAAGGAAAAUGGUGCAACAAGUCCUUUUCUGUGAUUACAACGGGAGCAUUAACACACAUUCCUCAGAACCACAUGCAGGGUUUUAUUUCCUUGGAGGUGGUAGUUUCCAGGCCCGGAGACCUGAAUCAAAAGCAUGUUAUAAGGCUGCACAAGGGGCUCAGGCUCAUGUUUUUGCACAUUUCCUGCUGGAAUCCGAGAAGGAGCCCUUUCUCCAAGGGGCCCUGGUUCCUGUCACUGGAGAAUGGUCUCAGAAGCGGAGGUCCGGCUUGGAGGUGUCCACCGCGCCUGGAGAGGACCCGAGGGCCGCAGGAGGCGUGAAACAGCAAGGGAGCCACCUGAGCCCUCGCUGUUGCCGGUGGUUUUGAUUUCCUUUGAUUUCCCGGCCUCAUCUCGCGGUCCUGGGCGGAAAGGCGACCCGCAGUUAAAAGGCGAGAGGCGCCGCAGCGCCCGCAGCAAGAGGAAGCGUCCGGGAACCUCUGCGGCAGCGCGUGAGUUGGGCAGCGCUCCUCGCCCGCUACCCUCCCAGCCGCUGGCGGGUCCCAGAGUCAUCCAGCAAGAGACUGAAGGCCAGUGUGAGGCCUGGUAUCCCUACUCAUGCUAGUCAACAUUCUGUGGACACCUGUGAUCCUUCUGGAACCAUUCCAAAGCCUUGGAAUCUCAUCAUGAACAGCUAAAACUCUGAAAGAACACAUGGUGAUUAUACUCCGGGAGGCUGCAGCUGCAGACAUAUCUAACACUUCCGCCGGAAAAUUCAGCUAAGUAAAUCUUUGCUUUGACUAAGGAAUUUUAUCAAAUGGAUUUUAAAUAUAACAAUAAUGUGUUUAUUUCAAAAGCGAGUGCUGCCAAAAACAAUUUUCCUAAAACCACUUCACUCCAGUAUCUGGAGCCUGGUAAAAACAUAUCAGUUCGUGAGAAAGGCAUAUAUAUUUGUAUAAAAAGAUGUCAUGGCUAUUUUCAUUUGGGAACAGAUCUUGCAGUUGAAAUUAUAAAUCUGUGCUGUUUUUACCAGAAGAAGAUAAAAAUAUUAAAAGGACAUCCAGGGUAAUAUCUUGUUAGGAAUAAUUUGCCAAACAGCUUCUUGAGAACAUUUUCCUUUACUUAUGUCAUUUGCUGGCUAUGGUGAAGAGGGCCCAAGAGACCCACUGGAACUCUGAUUCCACUUGUGACCAUGAUUAGAUAAGACCUUGACCAAGUUAACUCCUUUAGGCCUCGGUUCUCUCAUCUGUAAAAUGGGAAUAAGAAUACUUAGCUAUAGAAAUAUUGCAAAGAAUAAAUGAGGAAUUCUCAUUGUGGUUCAGCAGGUUAAGGACCCGACAUAGUCUCUGUGAGGAUGCAGGUUUGAUCCCCGGACUCACUCAGUGGGUUAGGGAUCCAGCAUUGCUGCAAGCUGCAGUGUAGGUCACAGAUGCCACCUGGAUCCAUUGUUGCCAUGGCUGUGGCAUAAGCCUCAGCUCCAUUUCCAAUUUGACCCCUAGCCCAGGAACUUCCAUAUGCCACAGGUGCAACUGUAAAAAGAAUAAAUGAGAAAGGGUGUGUAUUUUCAACAAUUUAUCAAACCAGACGGUUGGACACAGUAUCCCAUCCUCCCAUCAAUCCAGAGGAUUCCUGAGCGAAGUAAAAGCCUGGGGCAGGGUCUGGCUAAAGAACACCCUUUACUGCUAGGAGGUCAUAAACACUAAUGCACGCAGACCACUCCUUCGUCUACACACCCUGGAUCAUGGGUUCAGAGUAAAACUCAGCUGGACCCUAGGGAGCUUUCCCAGGAACAGCACCCCCAUGACCCCUGCCCCUUAUUUGUAGAAAAGCUUUAGCCUCCUAGGCCUUCCCUGAGUUUCAAAGAGCAAAUUUAAUCAGAAAAAUGAGGGAAAGGCAGAAGCAAAGGAUAAUCACCAAGCAAGAGAAAAUACUGAGAGUUUAGCCAUAAAGGGAAGUCAAGGACUUUUGUUGCUCCUCAAGGACUGUAGAUGAUAUCCUAAGCCAUAUCCUUGAGUUGUUUUGCAGACACCAAAAUCCCCAUAAGGAGGAAGAAGUUAAUUGCAUGCCAACCACCAGUCCAGACCUAUUGGAACCAGCGGGUUGUUGAGGUUGACUCUGGAAAUACCACCCUUUUACCUCACCACCAACCAAUUAGAAGAAUAUCCGCAAGCUGAUCAGGCACCCUGCAACCCUCUCCCUCACUUUGUCUCUAAAAACCCUUCCCUGAAAGCCAUCAGGGAGUUCAGGUCUUUUGAGCCUGAGCUGCCUGUUCGUGCUUGGACCCAUGUGGAGUGUCUUGCAAUAAACACUGCACUUUCCUUUCCCCCAGCCCGGUGUCAGUAGAUUGGUCCUACUUCACCUCAAGUAGUGGACCCAAGUUUGGUUCUGUAACAAAAGCUGCCUGAGUGGCCUCCUCUGCCCCUUCCUUGUCAGUCCACCUGAGAACCCCAGAUCUUACACCUCAAGUGAGAGGGACAGACCAGUGUAGAAAGAGCCCAGGCAAACAAAAGAGCCCACUUGCUAGAGGCAGAGCAAGACGGCCUCUGCCGACCUGCCCACGUUAGAGCUGCUCUGGGCUGCUUCACUUCUCACCAUUUCCCUGCCCCGUUCCCACAGCGAUCUGUGACUGGGCAGAGAAACAGGAAUUCCUGGGCCCCCACGUACGGUCUCAGCCCCAUCAUCCCACCAUCAUUUUCUCUAGGCUCACCCCCAUUGCUCACAAGUAGUUCUCAGGGUUGGUGUCUUCUUUGGGUCCUGCCCCCCCCCAAUCAUCCCCAACUGGUUUUUGCUAUUUCAUUGCUCCAGAGACAGAAAGCCAACAGCAGAACUCAAGCCCAUAGUACUCCCAGAUGAGUACUGCUCACCUGGACAACUCCCAAACACUCUAUCCCAUUCAUUUCUGUCCGCUAUGCUCCAACUACCUGGGAUUCUACUGCCUAACUUAAAUGGCAUCUAAGCAAGUACCCUGUGUGAUGCCUAGAACACAGGAGUUGCUCAGCCUCUGAUAGGUUCCCAUAUGAGGAAUAGAGGCAGGAAGGAAGCUAUUAUUAAAAUGCUACGGUCCUCAUCCAGCCCCCAUGAAAGCAUCUCAGGAUAGACACCCCCUCCCCACCUCUUCAUCUGCCCUGUGGGGUAUCUGAGAACUACCAGGCCUCCUGUCCAAGUCCUAGGAUCCUAUAAGAAUGGUUCAAGUCCUAAAGCCUUAGGUCAAUAUGGGUGCCACUUCGGGGGCUGGGUUUGUGGCUGCAGGUGGGUAUUAAAUGGCUUAGCUGUGAAGGGGAAAGAGUCUCAGAAGCUGAUCCCUGAUAGACCCAACAAGGCCUGCCCACACAGCACCUUUCCCUGACCCUGGAUUCACUAUAAAAAGAACAAGCUCAAAGCAAGCUGUUCUGGAAGCACUAUUCCAUCUUCACAGACGUUCUAUUUGUGUCAGCAGAACAACGAGGGCUGGAGCCUCCCCUUCUGGUACAAUUGGAACAAUUACCCCUUAAAUGUGAUAAUGACAGUUUGAUCAUUUGUAGGCAAAAGCAAGAUGGGUUCCAAGAUUUUCUUCUCCUUGGUGGGACGUUCUGGGAAGAAACCGCUUAUUUUCCCAGAGCCAUGGGCUUCAUAGUUCAGAUCCAGAUUUGAAUGCCUUCCGGUGCCUACCUUUCCAAAAGGAAAUGAAUUCAGACAUUUCUAUUGUGCUAUGCUGUAAAUUUAGGAGUGACCUAUAGGAAUUGCCUGGAUAAUUUAAACCAGAAGGACUAGACCUUUUGCAUGUGUCCAUCAACUUAAGAGCUGGAUUUCUUGUCAGAUGCCAUACUGACAUCUUGGCAUCCACUUGACCUCAUUGGCAACAUAAAUAGUGUUUAGGUCAAGGUCUUGAAUACAGAAAAAAGCUGUAUAUAUUCACUCUGCAUUUUGCACCUGUAGUCUGCAUAACUGAGCUGCCCAUUCUGGACAUCAGAAUCUUAUCUUCAUGACUCAAAGUUUGGAAUCUUACCAAGGCUGCAAAAAAAAGUUGAGAAUGAACAAACCGAACCUAUGGAAUAAACUAUAUACAGAUGACUAUGCAAAUUAUUUAAGCAUCGGUAUACAUAAAAUCAAUUAUAGCCACCACUGUGGGAUGGGAAGGUAACUUCAGGAAUGGUGAAACCCUUUGAUGCUCCAUCAAGUAUGUCUUAAAGAAACAUUAUGGGAGUUCCCAUCAUGGCUCAGUGGUUAAUGAACCUCACUAGUAUCCAUGAGGACGUGGGUUUGAUCCCUGGCCUUGCUCAGUGGGUUAAGGAUCUGGCGUUGCCAUGAGCUGUGGUGUAGGUCCCAGAUGAGGCUUGGAUCCUGAGUUGCUGUGGCUGUGGUGUAGGUCAGCAGCUACAGCUCCGAUUAGACUCCUAGCCUGGGAACCUCCAUAUGCCAUGGGUGUGGCUCUAAAAAGACAAAAGACAAAAAAAAAAAA